CCUACGGGGGGCAGCAGUGGGGAAUAUUGCACAAUGGGGGAAACCCUGAUGCAGCGACGCCGCGUGAGUGAAGAAGUAAUUCGUUAUGUAAAGCUCUAUCAGCAGGGAAGAAAAUGACGGUACCUGAGUAAGAAGCCCCGGCUAACUACGUGCCAGCAGCCGCGGUAAUACGUAGGGGGCAAGCGUUAUCCGGAUUUACUGGGUGUAAAGGGAGCGCAGACGGCUGUGCAAGUCUGGAGUGAAAGGCGGGGGCCCAACCCCAGGACUGCUCUUGAAACUGUAAAGCUGGAGUGCAGGAGAGGUAAGCGGAAUUCGUGGUGUAGCGGUGAAAUGCGUAGAUAUUAGGAGGAACACCAGUGGCGAAGGCGGCUUACUGGACUGCAACUGACGUUGAGGCUCGAAAGCGUGGGGAGCAAACAGGAUUAGAUACCCUUGUAGUC
rnacentral:rRNA from 1 species